AAUCUAUAUUAUAAUAGAUGAGUUUUUUUGUCUCUCCUCAGCUUAUCCACGUGGCAAAAAUGUGGGCCCCACCUCUGUUUAGUUUUUUUAUUUAGUUUUCUGUCGAGUGGGCAUUACGUGGGUUUUGAAAUAAUUUGAUUUCUCGAGUCUGAAACGAUUAGUGUUUAUUUCCUCUUCGAGAUUGUAAUUUCACAGAGGGCUCUUCCUUAUCCAACAAAUUCAAUUUCGUAACCUGAUCUCUUCGAUUCCUCUGUGCACGUUCUCUGCCCUCAAAACUGCUUUCGAAGAAAAGGCGAACUCUGAUGGAUUCAAUCGACCACUCACUCACUAUCUGUGAUUCGUCAUUCCUGUUGCUUCUUCUUCUUCUUCUUCCUCAAAUUUAAAAGGUAGACACUUUAUCCUCUCUUAUCACACUCUUCCUCCACCGAAUGGUGGGAAGAUAAUUCAACACCUGUCCAAAAGAUCAAAGCUUUCACCUUUUUACACGAGUUAUGUUCUUCUAGCGAGUUUUGACUCUCAAAAUCUCAACCAAUUUACUGCAUUUUCUCAAGUAUACCUCUAAAAGGGUUUAGUUUUUUUUUGUUAUUAUUAAGUUUGAUGGAACUCAAAAGAAAACCGGAGACAUGAGUCGUCAUCAUCGUCUAGGUCAGCUUCACCUUCACCAGCAUCACCAUCUUCAUCUUCAUCUUCAUGGGCUUCUCAUCAAAGAUAUCCUCAGUAUUGUCCUGAAAGCUAUACCUAUCCUCCUCCAGCUUCCUAUGCUCCUCCACCUCCCGAGUAUACACACCCUCCUACUACACCUUCAGCCUUACUCUCUCAGCCGCCUUCUCAAAGCCAUGGCAAUGAUAAGAGGAGGUUGGAGCGCAAGUAAAAAAUCUUUGAUGAGUACUCCUCUUUGGAGCAAGUGAGCUAGCAAAGAGGAAAAAACAGUUUUAAAUUUCAUCAUGUUCCUCCGUCGCUAACGUAACUUUUGACUCGCAGGUGUUUUGGAGGAAAUACGGUAUGUGCGAUCUCAGGAACAAUGCAGCAACCAUCAGAGUUUUGGUUCGCCUCUUAAUCGAAUUGUUAGCUUUUCCCUGUGAAAUGAUUCGAGUCUACUGAUGGGUUUAAAAAACCGUGCUAAGGUUUCACCUCGAGGAGGUGAAGCAAGGCGAAUUCAAGUAAGCGUUGCUUCAACGCCGCCUUGGAAGCCUCAACUAAAGGCUACGCCUUAGGUUGGUGACAAAACUUACCAAGCAAGAAGCUGCUGUCUUGCCCUCGAGGAGAUUCUUUCUUCUCUAGGCAGAUACAUUACUAAUUUCGUUCGCAUUUCACUGGAAGGUAUUAUAACUUCCUAAUACUGCUGACUGCAAACGGUGGAGAGGAGAAUCUCCCAAACCGCCUUGAAGAGCUAACUGAGAAAGAGUUUGUGUUCCAGAUCCAUGUCACACCUUUCAACUUCACACCCAACCAGCUACCUUCACAGUUUCCACCAUCACUGAAGAUACCAUCUCAAGGACCCAUGGCAAGGAGCACGGUGAUAACACUCUUUCAAGCAAUGAUGGUGACGUAGGAUUGGAAGCAUCACCUUCGGGCCCGUCUGUUUUGGGAGACAAGGUCAGUGAGGAAUGUGCUACAGCAGAUCCUCCAGAGAUUUCAGACGCUCAGAACAACCGCAAGCACCGUCGUGAGUGAUUUGAACUAUCUAUUCCUAUCAGUCCAUCAACCGUCUUUUCUAUGCGUCUAAGAAAACUACUACUAUCUUUGUUUCCCAUUUUUCCCUUUCAUGUUUUCUUCUUUUUGGAUAUUUACUUUCUGUUUGGAUUAUUAAUUAAAUGUUGACGAAUUCUAAUUUGCCAGUGGUGUAUUGUUUUACUUUCAUAAUUUUAUAUCUACUUCCUAGACCA